AUUGAACGCUGGCGGCAGGCCUAACACAUGCAAGUCGAGCGGAUGAAGGGAGCUUGCUCCUGGAUUCAGCGGCGGACGGGUGAGUAAUGCCUAGGAAUCUGCCUGGUAGUGGGGGAUAACGUCCGGAAACGGGCGCUAAUACCGCAUACGUCCUGAGGGAGAAAGUGGGGGAUCUUCGGACCUCACGCUAUCAGAUGAGCCUAGGUCGGAUUAGCUAGUUGGUGGGGUAAAGGCCUACCAAGGCGACGAUCCGUAACUGGUCUGAGAGGAUGAUCAGUCACACUGGAACUGAGACACGGUCCAGACUCCUACGGGAGGCAGCAGUGGGGAAUAUUGGACAAUGGGCGAAAGCCUGAUCCAGCCAUGCCGCGUGUGUGAAGAAGGCCUUCGGAUUGUAAAGCACGUUAAGUUGGGAGGAAGGGCAGUAAGUUAAUACCUUGCUGUUUUGACGGUACCAACAGAAUAAGCACCGGCUAACUUCGUG
rnacentral:rRNA from 1 species